AAAGAUUUAGUUAAAUUAUAACACUAGCUUGUCACGCUUGAGUAGUCAUUAAAGACAAUCUUUU
rnacentral:tRNA from 1 species